rnacentral:rRNA from 1 species
GUAGUCAUAUGCUUGUCUCAAAGAUUAGCCAUGCAUGUCUAAGUUAGUUAGCCAUUAUACAGCGAAACUGCGAAUGGCUCAUUAUAUAAGUUAUCGUUUAUUUGAUAGUACCUUACUACUUGGAUAACCGUGGUAAUUCUAGAGCUAAUACAUGCUAAAAAUCCCGACUUCGGAAGGGAUGUAUUUAUUAGAUUAAAAACCAAUGCCCUCCGGGGCUCACUGGUGAUUCAUGAUAACUUCUCGAAUCGCAUGGCCUUGCGCCGGCGAUGGUUCAUUCAAAUUUCUUCCCUAUCAACUUUCGAUGUUUGGGUAUUGGCCAAACAUGGUUGCAACGGGUAACGGAGGGUUAGGGCUCGACCCCGGAGAAGGAGCCUGAGAAACGGCUACUACAUCCAAGGAAGGCAGCAGGCGCGCAAAUUACCCAAUCCCGACUCGGGGAGGUAGUGACAAUAAAUACUGAUACAGGGCUCUUUUGGGUCUUGUAAUUGGAAUGAGUACAAUUUAAAUCCCUUAACGAGGAACAAUUGGAGGGCAAGUCUGGUGCCAGCAGCC